UGCCCUAGUAACGGCGAGUGAAGCGGCAACAGCUCAAAUUUGAAAUCUGGCUUCCUUUGGGGGUCCGAGUUGUAAUUUGCAGAGGGUGCUUUGGCGUCGGCAGCGGUCUAAGUUCCUUGGAACAGGACAUCACAGAGGGUGAGAAUCCCGUACGUGGUCGCCUGCCUUCGCCGUGUAAAGCCCCUUCGACGAGUCGAGUUGUUUGGGAAUGCAGCUCUAAAUGGGAGGUAAAUUUCUUCUAAAGCUAAAUACCGGCCAGAGACCGAUAGCGCACAAGUAGAGUGAUCGAAAGAUGAAAAGCACUUUGGAAAGAGAGUCAAACAGCACGUGAAAUUGUUGAAAGGGAAGCGCUUGCAGCCAGACUUGCUCGCAGUUGCUCAUCCGGGUCCGCCCGGAGCACUCUUCUGCGAGCAGGCCAGCAUCAGUUUGGGCGACCGGAUAAAGGCCUCUGUCAUGUAUCUUCCUUCGGGAUGACCUUAUAGGGGAGGCGUAAUGCGGCCAGCCCGGACUGAGGUCCGCGCAUCUGCUAGGAUGCUGGCGUAAUGGCUGUAAGCGGCCCGUCUUGAAACACGGAUCAAGGAGUCUAACAUCUAUGCGAGUGUUUGGGUGUCAAGCCCGGGCGCGUAAUGAAAGUGAACGGAGGUGGGAACCCUCUUCGGGGGGUGCACCAUCGACCGAUCCUGAUGUCUUCGGAUGGAUUUGAGUAAGAGCAUAGCUGUUGGGACCCGAAAGAUGGUGAACUAUGCUUGAAUAGGGUGAAGCCAGAGGAAACUCUGGUGGAGGCUCGCAGCGGUUCUGACGUGCAAAUCGAUCGUCAAAUUUGGGCAUAGGGGCGAAAGACUAAUCGAACUAUC
rnacentral:rRNA from 1 species